rnacentral:piRNA from 1 species
UAGAUGUUUGUGAGCCACCAUGUGGU